CACGUAGUUAGCCGGCGCUUCUUCUGCAGGUACCGUCACUUGCGCUUCUUCCCUGCUGAAAGAGGUUUACAACCCGAAGGCCGUCAUCCCUCACGCGGCGUCGCUGCAUCAGGCUUGCGCCCAUUGUGCAAUAUUCCCCACUGCUGCCUCCCGUAGGAGUCUGGGCCGUGUCUCAGUCCCAGUGUGGCCGGUCGCCCUCUCAGGCCGGCUACCCGUCGUCGCCUUGGUGAGCCGUUACCUCACCAACAAGCUGAUAGGCCGCGGGCUCAUCCUGCACCGCCGGAGCUUUCCACACAGAGGAGAUGCCUCCCUGUGUCGUAUCCGGUAUUAGACCCCGUUUCCAGGGCUUGUCCCAGAGUGCAGGGCAGAUUGCCCACGUGUUACUCACCCGUUCGCCACUAAUCCACCCCCGAAGGGGCUUCAUCGUUCGACUUGCAUGUGUUAAGCACGCCGCCAGCGUUCGUCCUGAGCCAGGAUCAAACUCU
rnacentral:rRNA from 1 species